CGAUAAAUCCAUUACGAAAUAUAGACAAAUCCAAUGAAUAUCAAAAGCUGUUAUACCUAGGAAAACAUAUAUAAAAUUCUAAUACAUUUCAUCAUUCUGAAGUUAGUACACAUGCUGGCGUGCCUGAGUCGUGAUCCGUAUCAAUCUCUGUUAAUUUGUUUGGGAAACAUAAUCCCAGAAGAACGAUUGUUUGUGUUUUAGCCAGUAGUAAUUUUUCGCCGGAGGAUUUUACCAGUUGAGUGGCAGCAAAAAUAACUUAAAUUUCAUCGCUGUGAUAUAAGCCAAUCAUUUAUAAGCGUAAAACACGGGUCUAAAAAUGAGGGACAGCAGCGAAGGAAAACAGAUCCGGACUUCAGCGAGAACGUGCACGGUUCCAUUCUUCGCCAUGCAUAGGAAACUCCAAUCCACCAGAACAACAGCACCCAAUCCGCUGAAUCUGGAUUCAUGUACCAGCCAGGAUCAACAUGCAUCAGGCAUGAAACUGUGUCCC